CUCGGCUCGCUCUCGGGGUGGAAGCUAAGGAAUGCCCUUUGUUUAGACAACUUUUCCCGAGAUGUCAGUGCGCCCUCUGGGAGCGCAGUCCCCAUCUCCCUAGGGCACUGUUUUCCUCUAAGGUCAAGGUCGGGCGCUGACCCUGUCUCCGGGCGCGGAGGUAAGGCGGGAAUGGACGGCCCCUCCCGCAUCUUGUCCUGUGGUAGGGUCAGCCAGGAAGGGGCUUUACCUGCAGCUGUGGCCCAAGCCAAGGUAGCGCUCUCUCACUUUCCACCCAGAGGGAGGUGGCGGAACCUCAUCUAUUUGCAGACCUCCUUCUCCACGUGAGACAGGAAGCAAUGAGAGUCAGGACCCAGGAGAUCCGGAAAUUCCUUCCAAGGGCAAGUGCUCCUUGUCUUCAGCCGACAAGCUUCCCUUUCAAGCAGGAGAUGCUACUGUGGUCACAUCGAAGUGACAGAAUAGGAAAUGGAGCCUCUCGGUGAUCUGCCCAAGACCAGAGGGCUGGUGAAGGGCAGGCCUUCUGGCCCACGGUCCUCACAUCAACAGUGCUGUGGCCAGCAGCUUGCUGUAAACUCGGGACGUUGUGGGAGGAAACCGUGAGGUGCUCAGGGUGGAUACUCAAGAUGUGCUGCCACCUUGGCCUGGCCCUUCCUUGCUGCGUUCCCCUCUCUUAUCCAAGCUAAAUCCUAAGUAAAAGAACUGCCUAACUCA